rnacentral:SRP_RNA from 3 species
GAGUCCCGUGCGAUAUCACGGCGUGAACCCUGUCAGGGCCGGAAGGCAGCAGCAGUAAGCGCACUCUGAUAUGUGCCGCGGGAG